UGCAUUGUCCAGAGACGGCCGUGCCACCAUGUCCUGAGCAACUACUGUGACAACAUGUGUCCUUGUUCACUUCAGAGGAAAAUUCCUCCUCCUCCCAAACAGAAGUGUUUACAUUGAAGAUAUGUAUGUGACCUCUCCGCUUCCUGCUCCAACUGCUACUGCAAGCCUUCCCUGCCGCAAUGGACUCCCUCUCUGACACCAUAAACCCCAAUACAUUCUUUCUUUAUUAGUUGCCUCUGGUCAUGAUGUUUAUCACGACAACAGAAAGGUGACUAAUACAAGGACCUAAAGGGAUCCUGGCCUACACAGUAAGGGCACGAUUAACAGUUUGUUAAAUAUAUAAUUCCGACCUGAUCCAGAGACCAAGGAUCUUCUCACAAGCUGUGCUCUGCUCCUCUGGACCACCUGUCUUUGUGACCCCCCCAUUCUUUCCCUGAGCCCUCACAGUCUAUUUGCCCCCAUCUGUCUCCCCAUCUCUCUAAUGUCCAUCUUCUGAGCAGGCUAAUAAUUUAUUUUAUACUAAAUAGUGUUAAUUAUAAACCUCUUCUCCCUUUCUAAGCCACUUACCUGUCUUCUAUGUGCAAAACAGUAAAUCUUUGCAUUCAAAUAAAAUGAGAAAAACCUGCAUA